GAGCUUUCAGUCUUCAUUAAAAAAAAAAAAAAAAGAAAAAAAAAAGAAAAAAAAAUGUGAAAAGCCCCAGACAGUUUCAGCUGAGUGGAAGAAAGUGCCUACAAGGCCUACAUAGGUUCUUCAGUCUGCAAACCUCCCUUUGAGAACGUUUCUUUCAACUCACAUUGCUGGAGCUCCUAAAUAUCUUUCAAGAACCAUGCUUCAGACAGAAAUAUUGAAAUUUGUAUGGCACACAGA
rnacentral:lncRNA from 1 species